rnacentral:rRNA from 1 species
GACGAACGCUUUCGGCGUGCUUAACACAUGCAAGUCGAACGGAAAGGCCCUGCUUUUGUGGGGUGCUCGAGUGGCGAACGGGUGAGUAACACGUGAGUAACCUGCCCUUGACUUUGGGAUAACUUCAGGAAACUGGGGCUAAUACCGGAUAGGAGCUCCUGCUGCAUGGUGGGGGUUGGAAAGUUUCGGCGGUUGGGGAUGGACUCGCGGCUUAUCAGCUUGUUGGUGGGGUAGUGGCUUACCAAGGCUUUGACGGGUAGCCGGCCUGAGAGGGUGACCGGCCACAUUGGGACUGAGAUACGGCCCAGACUCCUACGGGAGGCAGCAGUGGGGAAUAUUGCACAAUGGGCGGAAGCCUGAUGCAGCAACGCCGCGUGCGGGAUGACGGCCUUCGGGUUGUAAACCGCUUUCGCCUGUGACGAAGCGUGAGUGACGGUAAUGGGUAAAGAAGCACCGGCUAACUACGUGCCAGCAGCCGCGGUGAUACGUAGGGUGCGAGCGUUGUCCGGAUUUAUUGGGCGUAAAGGGCUCGUAGGUGGUUGAUCGCGUCGGAAGUGUAAUCUUGGGGCUUAACCCUGAGCGUGCUUUCGAUGCGGGUUGACUUGAGGAAGGUAGGGGAGAAUGGAAUUCCUGGUGGAGCGGUGGAAUGCGCAGAUAUCAGGAGGAACACCAGUGGCGAAGGCGGUUCUCUGGGCCUUUCCUGACGCUGAGGAGCGAAAGCGUGGGGAGCGAACAGGCUUAGAUACCCUGGUAGUCCACGCUGUAAACGGUGGGUACUAGGUGUGGGGUCCAUUCCACGGGUUCCGUGCCGUAGCUAACGCUUUAAGUACCCCGCCUGGGGAGUACGGCCGCAAGGCUAAAACUCAAAGGAAUUGACGGGGCCCCGCACAAGCGGCGGAGCAUGCGGAUUAAUUCGAUGCAACGCGUAGAACCUUACCUGGGUUUGACAUGGAUCGGGAGUGCUCAGAGAUGGGUGUGCCUCUUUUGGGGUCGGUUCACAGGUGGUGCAUGGCUGUCGUCAGCUCGUGUCGUGAGAUGUUGGGUUAAGUCCCGCAACGAGCGCAACCCUUGUUCACUGUUGCCAGCACGUUAUGGUGGGGACUCAGUGGAGACCGCCGGGGUCAACUCGGAGGAAGGUGGGGAUGACGUCAAGUCAUCAUGCCCCUUAUGUCCAGGGCUUCACGCAUGCUACAAUGGCUGGUACAGAGAGUGGCGAGCCUGUGAGGGUGAGCGAAUCUCGGAAAGCCGGUCUCAGUUCGGAUUGGGGUCUGCAACUCGACCUCAUGAAGUCGGAGUCGCUAGUAAUCGCAGAUCAGCAACGCUGCGGUGAAUACGUUCCCGGG